rnacentral:rRNA from 1 species
GUGAGUCGACCCCUAAGGCGAGGCCGAAAGGCGUAGUCGAUGGGAAACAGGUUAAUAUUCCUGUACUUGGUGUUACUGCGAAGGGGGGACGGAGAAGGCUAUGUUGGCCGGGCGACGGUUGUCCCGGUUUAAGCGUGUAGGCUGGUUUUCCAGGCAAAUCCGGAAAAUCAAGGCUGAGGCGUGAUGACGAGGCACUACGGUGCUGAAGCAACAAAUGCCCUGCUUCCAGGAAAAGCCUCUAAGCAUCAGGUAACAUCAAAUCGUACCCCAAACCGACACAGGUGGUCAGGUAGAGAAUACCAAGGCGCUUGAGAGAACUCGGGUGAAGGAACUAGGCAAAAUGGUGCCGUAACUUCGGGAGAAGGCACGCUGAUAUGUAGGUGAAGUCCCUCGCGGAUGGAGCUGAAAUCAGUCGAAGAUACCAGCUGGCUGCAACUGUUUAUUAAAAACACAGCACUGUGCAAACACGAAAGUGGACGUAUACGGUGUGACGCCUGCCCGGUGC